rnacentral:rRNA from 1 species
UACGGGGGGGGCAAGCGUUGUUCGGAAUUACUGGGCGUAAAGGGCUCGUAGGCGGCCAACUAAGUCAGACGUGAAAUCCCUCGGCUUAACCGGGGAACUGCGUCUGAUACUGGAUGGCUUGAAUCCGGGAGAGGGAUGCGGAAUUCCAGGUGUAGCGGUGAAAUGCGUAGAUAUCUGGAGGAACACCGGUGGCGAAGGCGGCAUCCUGGACCGGCAUUGACGCUGAGGAGCGAAAGCCAGGGGAGCAAACGG